CUCGCACACACCUGGAAGUCACAAUGUCAUACGUGAAGGGAGUCGGCUCUUUUAUUUUUGUGUUUUUUGAAGCGAAUUAUCCUGUUGCCGAGGGAGCCAUGCAUCUAGAAACGGCUGGCUGGCUGAGUGGUUAGCGUGCCGGUCCUGCGUUCGCUGCGUCAUAGAUGAUGAGGGUUUGAAUCCACCGCUGCCACAGACUACUUGUCCUGAAGCCCACCACCAUCAUCCUGGACUGUAUGGGACUGUCCAAGGGAAAGCUAGAUGGGGCCGCUAUAAACACUUGCCGGCUUGGGCCCACCACCAGGCCCAGCCAAGGGAGGUUGGUGUAGCAGUGCCGGGAGGUUCCAUAACACAGGCACUCCU